ensembl:rRNA 5S_rRNA 5S ribosomal RNA
UUUUGUCGACGGCCAUACCACCCUGAACACACCCGAUCUCGUCUGACCUCGGAAGCUAAGGAGAGUUGGGCCUGGUUAGUACUUGGAUGGGAAAAGUCACGACCUUUUUUUGGUCUCUACAAAUU